UUUUUUUUUGCGUUAUGCCAUCUCAAUCAACCAGAACCAGUAGCUUGUUAUGUCUGUGUAUUCAGACUGCUGCACGUACUACUGGUGCAAUUUUUUUUUUGUUUUUCAAGUGAUGUGUGCCUCAAAUAUAUCCAUUUGGAAUUAUUUAUCAUAUUAUAAGAACGAAUUUAGGUUAAUAGUUAUAUGGGAAGUUUCUUUCUGCCAAUUGCAGUUUUGAUGAAAA